CCUACGGGAGGCAGCAGUGGGGAAUUUUGGACAAUGGGCGCAAGCCUGAUCCAGCAAUGCCGCGUGCAGGAUGAAGGCCUUCGGGUUGUAAACUGCUUUUGUACGGAGCGAAACGGUCUGCUUUAAUACAGUAGGCUAAUGACGGUACCGUAAGAAUAAGCACCGGCUAACUACGUGCCAGCAGCCGCGGUAAUACGUAGGGUGCGAGCGUUAAUCGGAAUUACUGGGCGUAAAGCGUGCGCAGGCGGUUAUAUAAGACAGAUGUGAAAUCCCCGGGCUCAACCUGGGACCUGCAUUUGUGACUGUAUAGCUAGAGUACGGUAGAGGGGGAUGGAAUUCCGCGUGUAGCAGUGAAAUGCGUAGAUAUGCGGAGGAACACCGAUGGCGAAGGCAAUCCCCUGGACCUGUACUGACGCUCAUGCACGAAAGCGUGGGGAGCAAACAGGAUUAGAUACCCUGGUAGUCCACGCCCUAAACGAUGUCAACUGGUUGUUGGGUCUUCACUGACUCAGUAACGAAGCUAACGCGUGAAGUUGACCGCCUGGGGAUACGGGCCGCGAAGGUUGAAACUCAAAUUGAAUUGACGGNNGNGAGNGCGAGACGACGACGAGGAGGAGG
rnacentral:rRNA from 1 species